GAUGAACGCUAGCUAUAGGCUUAACACAUGCAAGUCGAGGGGAAACGGCAUUAUGUGCUUGCACAUUUUGGACGUCGACCGGCGCACGGGUGAGUAUCGCGUAUCCAACCUGCCCUUUACUUGGGGAUACCCCGUUGAAAGACGGCCUACUACCCGCUGUAAUUCAUUGAUGGCAUCAGAUAUGAAUACAAGAUUUAUCGGUAAAGGAUGGGGAUGCGUUUGAUUAGUUUGUUGGUGAGGUAACGGCUAACCAAGGCGACGAUCAGUAGGGGUUAUGAGAGGCAGCCACACUGCAAUUGAGACACGGCCCAGUCCAAACCCCUAGGGGGCGGAGGAGUAAGGAAUAUUAGGCAAGGGAGGCUAGCCUGAACCAGCCAAGUAGGGUGCAGGAAGACGGCGCUAUGGGUGGUAAACUGCUUUUAAACAAGAAUAAUUUGAUGCACGUGUGCGUUAUUGCAUGUAUCGUAUGAAUAAGGACCGGCUAAUUCCGUG
rnacentral:rRNA from 1 species